rnacentral:rRNA from 1 species
UAGCGAAGAGGAUUAGAUACCCUCGUAGUCCCAGCCGUAAACGGUGCACACUUGCUGUGGGCGGAUUCGACCCCGUCCGUGGCGAAGCUAACGCGAUAAGUGUGCCGCCUGGGGAGUACGGUCGCAAGAUUAAAACUCAAAGAAAUUGACGGGGGCCUGCACAAGCGGUGGAGUAUGUGGCUUAAUUCGAUGCAACGCGAAGAACCUUACCUGGCCUUGACAUGUAGUGGCCCGGGUGCGAAAUCACCCUUUUCUUCGGAACUGCUACACAGGUGCUGCAUGGCUGUCGUCAGCUCGUGUCGUGAGAUGUUGGGUUAAGUCCCGCAACGAGCGCAACCCUCGUGUUCUGUUGCCACCCGGAGUUAAAUCCGGAGCACUCUGGACAGACUGCCUGGUUUCAACUAGGAGGAAGGUGGGGAUGACGUCAAGUCAGUAUGGCCCUUACGGCCAGGGCUGCACACGUACUACAAUGCCUGAUAUAAUGGGAAGCAAGACCGCGAGGUGGAGCAAAUCCUCAAAAUCAGGCCCAGUUCAGAUUGUAGGCUGCAACUCGCCUACAUGAAGGAGGAAUCGCUAGUAAUGCCGUAUCAGCUACGACGGCGUGAAUACGUUCCCAGGCCUUGUACACACCGCCCGUCACAUCAUGAAAGUCGAUUGUACCCGAAGUCGCUGCGUUAACCGCAAGGAGACAGGUGCCGAAGGUAUGGUUGGUAAUUGGGAUGAAGUCGUAACAAGGUAGCCGUAGGGGAACCUGUGGCUG